GACGAACGCUGGCGGCGCGCCUAACACAUGCAAGUCGAACGAGCGAGAGAGAGCUUGCUUUCUCGAGCGAGUGGCGAACGGGUGAGUAACGCGUGAGGAACCUGCCUCAAAGAGGGGGACAACAGUUGGAAACGACUGCUAAUACCGCAUAAGCCCACGACCCGGCAUCGGGUAGAGGGAAAAGGAGCAAUCCGCUUUGAGAUGGCCUCGCGUCCGAUUAGCUAGUUGGUGAGGUAACGGCCCACCAAGGCGACGAUCGGUAGCCGGACUGAGAGGUUGAACGGCCACAUUGGGACUGAGACACGGCCCAGACUCCUACGGGAGGCAGCAGUGGGGAAUAUUGCACAAUGGGGGAAACCCUGAUGCAGCGACGCCGCGUGGAGGAAGAAGGUCUUCGGAUUAUAAACUCCUGUUGUUGAGGAAGAUAAUGACGGUACUCAACAAGGAAGUGACGGCUAACUACGUG
rnacentral:rRNA from 1 species